GAACUUGAGACCGGCGCACGGGUGCGUAACGCGUAUGCAAUCUACCUUAUACAGGGGAAUAGCCCAGAGAAAUUUGGAUUAAUGCCCCAUAGUGUUAUAGAAUCGCAUGGUUUUAUAACUAAAGUUCCAACGGUAUAAGAUGAGCAUGCGUCCCAUUAGUUAGUUGGUAAGGUAACGGCUUACCAAGACAAUGAUGGGUAGGGGUCCUGAGAGGGAGAUCCCCCACACUGGUACUGAGACACGGACCAGACUCCUACGGGAGGCAGCAGUGAGGAAUAUUGGUCAAUGGGCGCAAGCCUGAACCAGCCAUGCCGCGUGCAGGAAGACGGUCCUAUGGAUUGUAAACUGCUUUUAUACAGGAAGAAACCUCCCUACGUGUAGGGACUUGACGGUACUGUAGGAAUAAGGAUCGGCUAACUCCGUGCCAGCAGCCGCGGUAAUACGGAGGAUCCAAGCGUUAUCCGGAAUCAUUGGGUUUAAAGGGUCCGUAGGCGGCCUUAUAAGUCAGUGGUGAAAUCUCCUAGCUCAACUAGGAAACUGCCAUUGAUACUGUAGGGCUUGAAUUUUUUGUGAAGUAACUAGAAUAUGUAGUGUAGCGGUGAAAUGCUUAGAUAUUACAUGGAAUACCAAUUGCGAAGGCAGGUUACUAACAAACGAUUGACGCUGAUGGACGAAAGCGUGGGGAGCGAACAGGAUUAGA
rnacentral:rRNA from 1 species